UACGAAGGGGGCUAGCGUUGCUCGGAAUUACUGGGCGUAAAGCGCACGUAGGCGGCUUUCUAAGUCAGGGGUGAAAUCCUGGAGCUCAACUCCAGAACUGCCUUUGAUACUGAAGAUCUUGAGUUCGGGAGAGGUGAGUGGAACUGCGAGUGUAGAGGUGAAAUUCGUAGAUAUUCGGAAGAACACCAGUGGCGAAGGCGGCUCACUGGACUGGUAUUGACGCUGAGGUGCGAAAGCGUGGGGAGCAAACAGG
rnacentral:rRNA from 1 species